GACUAUUUAGUUUAUAAAAAUGUGGGUUUUGUAUACCCAAGAUGAGUUAUUCAGUAGUCU
rnacentral:tRNA from 1 species